rnacentral:rRNA from 1 species
GGGUGAGUGGCGAAAGGGUUAGUAAUACGAUCGAACGUACCCCGAGGUGGAGGAUAGCGGCGGGAAACUGCCGGUAAUACUCCAUGAUGUCUUCGGACCAAAGUUUUGGCGCCUUGGGAGCGGCGAUCGUCCUAUCAGGUAGUUGGCGGGGUAAUGGCCCACCAAGCCUUAGACGGGUAGCGGGUGUGAGAGCACGGCCCGCAACAUCGGAACUGAGACACUGUCCGGACUCCUACGGGAGGCUGCAGUAACGAAUCUUCCGCAAUGGGCGCAAGCCUGACGGAGCAAUGCCGCGUGCGGGAUGAAGUAUCUCUGGUAUGUAAACCGCUGUCAGGGGACGGAAACAAUGAUUGUCCCCAGAGGAAGUGGCGACUAACUCUGUGCCAGCAGUCGCGGUAAUACAGAGGCCACGAGCAUUAGUCGGAAUCACUGGGCUUAAAGGGUGCGUAGGUGGCUUGCCAAGUGCUUUGUGAAAUCCCACGGCUCAACCGUGGAACAGCAGGGCAUACUGGCAGGCUUGAGGCRAGUAGGGGCUGACGGAACAGUAGGUGGAGCGGUGAAAUGCGUAGAUAUCUACUGGAACGCCGAUGGUGAAGACGGUCAGCUGGGCUUGUCCUGACACUGAGGCACGAAAGCGUGGGGAGCAAACAGGAUUAGAUACCCUGGUAGUCCACGCCGUAAACGAUGCGCACUA